rnacentral:rRNA from 1 species
UACGUAGGGGGCUAGCGUUGUCCGGAAUCAUUGGGCGUAAAGCGCGCGUAGGCGGCCCGGUAAGUCCGCUGUAAAAGUCAAAGGCUCAACCUUUGAAUGUCAGUGGAUACUGCCGGGCUAGAGUCCGGAAGAGGCGAGUGGAACUCCUGGUGUAGCGGUGGAAUGCGCAGAUAUCAGGAGGAACACCGGUGGCGAAGGCGGAUCUCUGGGCCUUACCUGACGCUGAGGCGCGAAAGCGUGGGGAGCGAACAGG